rnacentral:misc_RNA from 1 species
GAUGAAGAACGCAGCGAAAUGCGAUAAGUAGUGUGAAUUGCAGAAUUCAGUGAAUCAUCGAAUCUUUGAACGCACAUUGCGCCCGCCAGUAUUCUGGCGGGCAUGCCUGUCUGAGCGUCAUUUCAACCCUCAUGCCCCUAGGGCGUGGUGUUGGGGAUCGGCCAAAGCCCGCGAGGGACGGCCGGCCCCUAAAUCUAGUGGCGGACCCGUCGUGGCCUCCUCUGCGAAGUAGUGAUAUUCCGCAUCGGAGAGCGAUGAGCCCCUGCCGUUAAACCCCCAACUUUCCAAGGUUGACCUCAGAUCAGGUAGGAAUACCCGCUGAACUUAAGCAUAUCAAUAAGCGGAGG